GCCAUCGUGAGGAAAUGGUAACCUGCUGACCUCCUAAGUCAGAAACUGCGGGUUCGAGUCCCGCCGGGGGCU